AACGAACGCUGGCGGCAGGCUUAACACAUGCAAGUCGAACGCACCCUUCGGGGUGAGUGGCAGACGGGUGAGUAACGCGUGGGAACGUGCCCUUCAGUUCGGGAUAACCCAGGGAAACUUGGGCUAAUACCGGAUACGUGCGAGAGCAGAAAGAUUUAUCGCUGAAGGAUCGGCCCGCGUCUGAUUAGCUAGUUGGUGAGGUAAUGGCUCACCAAGGCGACGAUCAGUAGCUGGUCUGAGAGGAUGAUCAGCCACAUUGGGACUGAGACACGGCCCAAACUCCUACGGGAGGCAGCAGUGGGGAAUAUUGGACAAUGGGCGCAAGCUUGAUCCAGCCAUGCCGCGUGAGUGAUGAAGGCCUUAGGGUUGUAAAGCUCUUUCGUCCGGGACGAUAAUGACGGUACCGGAAGAAGAAGCCCCGGCUAACUUCGUGCCAGCAGCCGCGGUAAAAC
rnacentral:rRNA from 1 species